AUUGAACGCUGGCGGCAUGCCUUACACAUGCAAGUCGAACGGCAGCACGGGAGCAAUCCUGGUGGCGAGUGGCGAACGGGUGAGUAAAGUAUCGGAACGUGCCCAGUCGUGGGGGAUAACGUAGCGAAAGUUACGCUAAUACCGCAUACGAUCUAUGGAUGAAAGCGGGGGAUCGCAAGACCUCGCGCGAUUGGAGCGGCCGAUAUCAGAUUAGGUAGUUGGUGGGGGAAAGGCUCACCAGGCCGACGAUCUGUAGCUGGUCUGAGAGGACGACCAGCCACAAUGGGACUGAGACACGGCCCAGACUCCUACGGGAGGCAGCAGUGGGGAAUUUUGGACAAUGGGCGAAAGCCUGAUCCAGCCAUGCCGCGUGCAGGAUGAAGGCCUUCGGGUUGUAGACUGCUUUUGUACGGAACGAAAAGGUUUGGGCUAAUAAGCUGAGCUCAUGACGGUACCGUAAGAAUAAGCACCGGCUAACUACGUGCCAGCAGCCGCGGUAA
rnacentral:rRNA from 1 species